AACGAACGCUGGCGGCAUGCCUAACACAUGCAAGUCGAACGAGACCUUCGGGUCUAGUGGCGCACGGGUGCGUAACGCGGGGGAACCUGCCCGUAGGUUCGGAACAACUCACUGUAAGGGGUGCUAAUACCGGAUAAUGUCCUCCCACCAAAGAUUUAUCGCCUUUGGAUGGGCCCGCGUUGGAUUAGCCAGUUGGUAGUGUAAAAGCCUACCAAGGCGACGAUCCAUAGCUGGUCUGAGAAGAUGAUCAGCCACACUGGGACUGAGACCCGGCCCAGACUCCUACGGAAGGCAGCAGUGGGGAAUAUUGGAGGAGGGGCGCAAGUCUGAUCAAGCCGUGCCGGGUGAGUGAUGAAGGCCUUAGGGUUGUAAAGCUCUUUUAGCCGGGAUGAUAAUGACAGUACCGGGAGAAUAAGCACCGGCUAACUACGUG
rnacentral:rRNA from 1 species